rfam:Trypanosoma cruzi strain CL Brener tcruzi_1047053399201, whole genome shotgun sequence.
UCCGCGGGUUGCACCUUUGUGGAGUACGACUGGCCAUUCUACCAAAAACGGAAUUGCCCGUGGGAGA